AUUUGCUGGUUGUUUUUUUUUUUUUUUUUUUUUUUUUUUUUGAGACGGAGUCUCGCUCUGUUGCCCAGGCUGGAGUGCAAUGGUGCGAUCUUGGCUCACUGCAACCUCUGCCUCCCGGGUUCAAGUGAUUCUCCUGCCUCAGCCUCCUGAGUAGCUGGGAUUACAGGAGCAGGCCACCACACCUGGCUAAUUUUUGUAUUUUUAGUAGAGACGGGGUUUCACCAUGUUGGUCAGGCUAGUCUUGAACUUCUGACCUCGUGAUCUGCCUGCCUCCGCCUCACAAAAUGCUGGGAUUACAGGCAUGAGCCACCAUACCCAGCCUAUUUGCUGUUUGAAUGUAGGUGAAUGAGUGGGUCCAGCCCCAUUUAUUGAUUCCAAAGUUGAACCUUAUUUGUCUGACUCUUAUUUGAUCAGCUAUUCUGCUAUUUUAUGUAGGAAAUUUAGAUUCCAGGAACCCUGGUUAUCUCAAAGUUUUGAUGAGCACAACAGGCUUCUGCCAUCAGGUAAGUGUUCAUCUUACUUAACAAGAUUUUUUUUUUUUUUUUUUUGGUGGAUGUCCAAAAUAGAAGUUCUUGAGAACCCAGGUGAGAGGGUGCGUGUGGGUUUAGGCAACUGGUCAGCCCCCCAAAAUAAGAUCCAGUAAAGGCAUGACAGACAGAGGCUCUGGUGCAGGAAGUAGCUUAUUCCAAAUGUUAGGAGGAAACAAAAUAAGUGGCUGGAUUGUGAAUCUGUGUAAUUUAUCAGUGGAUACUACAGUUGGAUGAUAAGUAGAAAACCUCAGAGAGCUGAAUGAGAAAAGAAAUGGUUCUGGUGAGGAAGGCCUAACUCAGAGAAGAUGGAAGAUUUUAUUCUGGGAGGAAGAAUAGACUUAGUAACAUGCAAUGGACUUUACCAGCUCAGAAACCCUCCGGAGUUCUGAGUCAACUGCUUAUUAAUACCGUGUUAUGCAAUGACUUAAGGAUGCACAACGUAAACUUUCCAGAAAAGCAAAAACCACAAAAGUGGGCAGAACCUUAAUUUCUCCUUUGUUUGCUGAUUAGUGGAGGCUCACGUGAUUUCUUUUAAGGCGGGUACAGCCCCUCCACUGGCGUCCAAGAAACGGAAAUCUCCCAAUGUUAGUAAUCCCGUCAGAAGUUUCGGUUUUCUUGGAAAACAUGCCCGGUGGCCUACCUGGGGCCUCCAGGCCACACACCUCCAUUCUAUGAAGCUGUCUCUCUCAGGAUGCAUGGGUGACAAUGUAUUCAGAUGGAUGCUUUGAAUCCAGGGCCCCAACCCCCAGCUGCGGAGACACAACGCCAGUACUGUGAUUGCCUGAAAAAGAUAAUUGGCUCAUACUUCUCUCAAUAUUAAAAGUUUAAAAAAUAUGUGAAAUGAAAAUGCUAGAGAAAUGAAUUCAAAAAGUCCAAAUCCAAAAUAAUCUAAUCUGUUAUUAUUUUCAUUUUUGAAUAUUAAUUUAAAACACUGACAAUCAUGGUGCUCACAUGAUUUUUGCACAUAGACCGCCUCACAAUGAAUGAAAUGAACGGCUCCUUCUUUCACUAGGGGCACAAAGUCACGACCUGGCUUGUCCCUGGGAUUUCCCUGCUGUGUGUUCCCUCCUUGUCUUCAUGAGAGAGGUUCAGGCAGAGAAUCCUGCCUGGAUUCCCACGUCUGUACAGCGCCAGGCACCUGACAGUGGAGGGCUGUGAUAUGAUUUGGCUGUGUCCCCACCCAAAUCUUAUCUUGAAUUGUACUCCCAUAAUUCUCAUGUGUUGUGGGAGGGACCCAGUGGGAGAUAAUUGAAUCAUGGGCGCAGUUUCCCCCUUACUGUUCUAGUGGUAGUGAAUAAGUCUCUUGCCAUCUGAUGGCUUUAUAAGGGGAAACCAGGCCAGGCGCGGUGGCACACACCUGUAAUCCCAGUACUUUGGGAGGCCAAGGCGGGCAGGUCACGAGGUCAGGAGAUGGAGACCAUCCUGGUUAACAUGGUGAAACCCCGUCUCUACUAAAAAAAGAAAAUACAACAAAAAAAAAUUAGCCGGAUGUGGUGGCGAGCACCUGUAGUCCCAGCUACUCGGGUGGCUGAGGCAGGAGAAUGGCGUGAACCCAGGAGGCAGAGUUUGCAGUGAGCCGAGAUUGCGCCAGUGCACUCCAGCCUGGGCGAUAGAGCGAGACUCCGUCUCAAAAAACAACAAAAAACAAAAAAAAGGCAUAGUUCUCAUUCUCUCUCUUGCCUGCCGCCAUGUAAGAUGUGACUUUUGCCUUCUGCUAUGAUUGUGAGUCCUCCCCAGCCACGUGGGACUGUGAGUCCAUUAAACCUCUUUUCUUUAUAAAUUACCCAGUCUUGGGUAUGUCUUUAUCAGCAGCAUGAAAAUGGACUAAUACAGGCUGCACCCUGGUCCUGCCUUCUGCUGUGUUUCCCUGAGGCAGCAGAGUCUCCUAUGAAACGUGUCUCCCUUUAGAGCCUCUCUUUAGUGUCUGCCUCACCUUCUCACUCCAUUUAUCCCGCGUUUCACUGCCACUUCUAUGAUGAGCCGCGGCUUUGGAAGGGUCCCGUAAAUGGUCUGCUGAUGGCUUGGCCUUCUGAGCCUCCCUCACUCCCUGUGCACUGGGGGAGGCCCCUUCUCCUGCAGACAGGCUCUCAGGCCACAGGGAAUGGGUGUGGAAUGGCAGGUGUGGCCGGAAGCAUGGGGAUAUGUGAGGAGUGUGUGCAUGUGGAGUGUGUGAAUGUGUGUGAGCAUGUGAGUGUACGUGUGUGUGUGUGCAUGUGUGUGUCCAUGUGAUGUGUGUGUGAAUGUGAGAGUUUGCGAGUGUGCAUGUGGGGUGUGUAAAUGUGUGUGAGUGUUUGAGAUUGUGGAUGUGUGUGUGCAUGUGAUGUGCGUGUGAAUGUGUGAGAAUUUGAGAGUGUGCAUGUGGUGUGCGUGUGCAUGUGGUGUGUGUGAAUGUGUGAGCGUUUGAGAGUGUGCAUGUGGUGUGUGUGAAUGUGUGAACAUUUGAGUGUGCAUGUGUGUGUGCAUGUGGUACAUGAAUGAGAAUGUGUAUGUGUAUAUUGGGAAAGUGAGUGUGAUUGUGUAUGUGUGAGUGUAUGUGCAGGUGUUCGUGUGUGUGUGUGUGCAUGUGAGUGCAUAUGUGUAUGUUGGUGAGCAUCAGCCUGAGAGUAUGGACGCCAGAGUGAGAGUGUGUAUGAGUGAGUGUGCAGGCGUGAGUGUGAGCACGAGUGUGUGUGAGUGUGAGCAUGAGUGUGAGUGUGUGUGAGCAUGAGUGUGUGUGUGAGCGUGUGUGAGCAUGAGUGUGAGUGAGUGUGAGCGUGUGUGAGCAUGAGUGUGUGUGUGUGUGACGGGUGAGGUUGCAGCAGGUGUCUUACUCAUCUAACUUUGUCGGUGGAACGGGCGCUCCCCUCCCAUCUUGAAGUGCCCUGUGUGGGCGAGCUCAGGGCUUCUGAGGACAAGAGCGUGGCAGAGGGCACCACUUAUGGCAUGAGUGAAGUCUGCUGGUGGCUGCUGUAAGCUGUGUGUCACGUUGCCUUACAGGCACAUUCUAUAAAGGAAAUUGGUUUGCUUUUCCUUAAAUGAGACUAGGGAAACUAGGGGUAGGGUGACAGGUAGCUGGAGAGGAGGAUUUUCUCACUCGCUCCUCGAAUUGUACUGUUGGGUGAAUGGGCAGGUGCAUGAGGGGUCAGUGGUAGGUGCGCUGGGUGUAGAGCCCCACUGCACGGGGUCCCUCUGACCCACCUGGGCCAGUCCCACCCCAGCCCCUUCCCAGGUGCUUUUACCUCCAGCACCUUCCGAUCUGCUCAAACUUCCAGCAGUGGGGUCUUUGGGGGUCCUCAGGGCUCUGUCCUGGAUGUGCCUUGAACUCCAGCCUGUUUCCUCUAGGGCCUCCAUGGCCUCCUGGGGCCCCAGUAACCUCCAUAUGCCUGUACUGCCCUGGCUGUACCCCUGCUCGUUCUUCUUGUCUGAGCUCCACACCUGUGUGUGUGUCUGCACAUCCUGCACCCACCUCCCCACACUGCUUCUCAGAACCUCCAUAACUCCCUGCCAUGAAUAAUUCUAUGUGGCAACUUGACUGGGCCAUGGGGUGCCCAGAUAUUUGGCCUAACAUGAUUCUGGGCAUUUCUGUGAGGCUGUUUUUGAACGAGUUUAUCAUUUAAGGUGAUGAGUGCACAAAGUAGACUGUCCUCCCCAAGGUGGGGGGGGGGGGCCUCAUGAGAUCAGCUGAGGGUCCCGAGCUGAGUAGAACGUGGCUGGCCCUCCUCCAGGUAAGAGAGAACUACUCCUGCCUGCCGGCCUUUGAGCUAGCUCAUGGGCUUUUUCCUGCCUUUGCACUAGGACUGAAACACCAGCUCUUCCUGGGUCUUGAGCCUGCAGCUUUUGGACUGGAACCUACACUCUGGGCUCUCCUGGUUCUCAGGUCUUUGGACUCAGAUGGGAACUGUACCCUCAGCUCUCCUGGGUGUCCAGCUUGCUGACCACAGAUCUUGGAACUUCUCUGCCUCCUUAAUCAUGCAAGCCAAUUCGUUGUAAUACAUCUCUAUCUAUCUGUGUCUCCUAGGUUAAGUUUCCUGGAGAAUCUUGAAGGAUACACCCCCUCCCUCUCCCACAGCACAGAGUUGUUCUGUGCACUUGGAUCAGCCCCCACAACUUCCCCCUGGGACAGGGCAUCCAUCACCAUCUCCUACCUGGACAGCAGCAAACACGGCCCCCGUGACUUCCUGGUGCCAUCCUUGGCUCCUUUACGUCCAUUCUCCAGUGGCUGCCAGAGUGAGCUUGAAGAACGUGUGACAUGCCCUUCAGAACGUUCUACUUCCUGUUCCAGAAGGACAGCCCCUCAUGCCUUCCCGCGGCCCACACGCCACCCCUUCCUCAGCGCCCCAGCCUGGCAUCCUCUUCCUGCAUUCAGCCUUCUUUUCCGAGGGUCAACAUCUUGUGAGUAUGGAGACCAGGCAAUGUGAGCUCCAGCUCUAACUCUGUCCCAAUCAGCUGUGUGACCUUGGGCAAGAUGCUUAACUUCUCUGGGCCUCAGUUUUCUCAUCUGUGACAUGAGGUGUCAUCUCGCUGGAGGGCAGAAGGAUUCCCUGGAACCUGGGGGCCAGCAGGACAGAGGAAACAGAAAGUACAUGACUGAUGAUGUCUUUUGACCACAGAAAGGGCUGGAAGAAGCAGGGGACCCACUGUUUGAAUAAACCCAGUGGAAAAACAGAAGCCCCAUUUCAUACUUGACUCAGCUCUUCAAGUUUAGGUCUUGAAUCUCCUCAACUGCAUGGAACAGUGUUUCUCCCAAGUCAUCUGACACCCACUCUGUUCUCUGGAUCAUUCCUUCCUAGAGAACCUUGCUCUUGGAGGGCUGUGAUCUGCUGUCACCCACUUGCCUUUACGACCCACUGAGUGCGUCUCAACAGUCAUUUGGGGCGUUCUGAUCUGACCAGGAAGGGAUGGGUAGCUUGUGGAACUUGCAAGCACUCUCACUGUGGUGGUCCCCAUCGGUGGUCACGGGGUUGCCACAGUGAGCUACGUUUCUACCCUCAUCUCUCUAUAUGUUACCUUGGAAUCUCUGACUGAGGACCCAUGGGCUCACCCAAUGUGAUAAAGUCCUGAAGCCUAGCCGCGACAUCUGACCCCAGCUGCAGGACUUUCCAAUAGACAGAUGCAUAGGACUUGAGAAGAAAUCAACUUAGAAACCCGAAGUUGGAAAACUGGUUGCCUGACAUUCUGUGCAAGACUGAAUCUCUGAGCAACGAGGGCUGUGUAACUUUGGGAACAUGUCUUUUCCAGCCUAUGGAGACCCCAGGAAACUUUGCAGUUGUUCCCCAAGUAUGGACGGAGUCAAACUUGAUGUCCUUUCAUCCCGCCAUCCCAUUCCCUAAUCCAUAUCCUUUGGAAAUUUUAGAGUGCCAGGCUUCAUGUAAAUACACCAAAAACAAUAUAAGUCAUUUAUGUUCUACUAAGCCAGGAGUUCUUUAGCAGUGGAAGAAGAUGGGGUCUUGCACGAAUAGAAGGGUCUUGGCUAUUUGUGUCGGUAUCAACAGAAGGACUAGAUGCUUGCGCUAAAAGAAAAUGCUGAGGGAUGGGGGCAGGAAGCAGAAGGUGACAGGUAGACUCCUGCUUGUUUGCAGGAGAGGCCUGGCAGAGGAGGUGGGUACAGGACAUUGCUAAGUGGAUUGAAUAAUGUCCCCCCCAAAUUCAGGUCUAACCAGAACCUCAGAAUGUGACUUUAUUUAAAAGCGCAUUCUAAAUUGGGAAUAAAAUCUGCAACACAUGUUGCUGUUUGGGAAAUUCCUACAGCCAACGGCCAAGCUCCUGGCAUUUAAUGCUGGUGUCUCCAAAGAUUGGUUCUCAUCUCUUGAGGGCUUGUUUUUAUUAAGGGCACACUCAUGCCCCCAGAGCAUGCAGGUUGA